rnacentral:misc_RNA from 1 species
CAGCCGCGUAAUUCCAGCUCCAAUAGCGUAUAUUAAAGUUGUUGCAGUUAAAAAGCUCGUAGUUGAAUUUCGGGAUUGGCACAUCGGUCGUGCCUCACGGGGUAUGAACUGGUGCAGUCAAUUUCUCACCUUCUGGAGAACCGCGAUGUCCUUAAUUGGAUGCCGCGGGGAACCAGGACCUUUACUUUGAAAAAAUUAGAGUGUUUAAAGCAGGCAUUUUUGCUUGAAUACAUUAGCAUGGAAUAAUAAAAUAGGACGGCAUGGUUCUAUUUUGUUGGUUUCUAGGACCACCGUAAUGAUUAAUAGGGAUAGUUGGGGGCAUUAGUAUUCAAUUGUCAGAGGUGAAAUUCUUGGAUUUAUUGAAGACUAACUACUGCGAAAGCAUUUGCCAAGGAUGUUUUCAUUAAUCAAGAACGAAAGUUAGGGGAUCGAAGACGAUCAGAUACCGUCGUAGUCUUAACCAUAAACUAUGCCGACUAGGAAUCAGACGAUGUUAAUUUUUUAAUGACUCGUUUGGCACCUUACG